GGAUUAAUUAAUUUCACCUUGAAUUUCUUUAGUAAUGCAGAUGGCCUGAAAAUAAAUAGUUUAACAAAACAUCUUUUGGCCCUGAGUCUUGGAUUAAAAAGUUUUUAACUUCAGAGUUGUGUGUUCAUUGGCCAUGGCAAACAUUUGCAGAUAUGGUGUUAACUUGUUUUAUCAUUUACUUAAGCAAUCAACUUUCACACCAUUUCCAGAUCCAAUGUGAUGUGUUCCUGUCACACAGAGACAAUAAUAUAGCAUUGGUGUCGUUCAGUCUAAUUUGAAUCCCACGCAAGAGAGAAAAAACAAAUCCAAACAAAAAGGCAUGAGGAAGGUAUGGUCUUCUGAUGUAUGUGAAGAAUACGUGCCUUUGUUCAUAUUAAGUGGAGCCUGCCUUGCUCCUGCUGUGCCACAGAGGAGAAUAGGCUCAAAUUGCCAGUGCUCUGCAUGGUAUGAUUGUUGCCUGAGUUUCAUUUCAUUUUCUUAACUGCACUCUUUGUCUCAGUCAGCAGCAGAAGUCCAGGCUGACAUUUGCAUGAUGGGGCACCGGGCUGACACAGACACUGAACAAGGGCAAAAAAUGGCCAAGGGCCAGAGGUUGCCAGGUGUGACCUCCAAGACCUCUUCUAUGGACUUGUGUUCUGCUGGGCCUGUGACGGAAGAACUUGCCAAAGCAGCUGUGUGGAAUUCCCCCACACAGCUGGAAAGGACAGUGACUUGCAGAUCGCUCAGCCACACUCAUUCAACAGCACAAACCUCUUGCCAAGUCCCAGGAAACUCUCCACUGGAGGUCAAAGGUCGAGCCAUCAGUAAAGACAUGUCCUGCUGUACCAUUGAGAAUGGAGACUCCAGAAGAAAAUGUGUCACACCUGUUACCCUGGAAAGUGAGAAGCAGGUAGAAUACUACUGGCCACAAGCCAAGCUUCCUGUGUUUCUCCCUUUCCCUGGAUAG
rnacentral:lncRNA from 1 species